AUCUCCAUCCUUUUUUUUGUUGUGGUUGCCAUAGAAACCUACGUUAGAAGAUCCUUCCAUGACUCAUGUUUCCCAUGUUGUGGAGGUUAUGAUGCCGAAGGGAGCAAGUAUACAUGAAAGAAGUCGAGAAUAAUGAGAGCAGAACUAUAACUUGACGUACAAGAGGAAAAGAUGGUGGGAAUUAGGAAAAAAGAGAACACGGUUAAGAAGGUGACUUUAAAAACCGUGAAGGAGCAUUGUAUCAUGCCAAGAAG